GCGGUGGGAGAGGUGGGAGGAUGAAGAUAUAGGGGUGCCUGAGUUGCAACCAAGGCAAUGGCUUACUACCUCAACUCAGAAGCCCACCUGGAUCCGGGGCCCAUCUAUGUUCGAGAAAAUGGGCAGCUCCACAUGGUCAGUCUGGCCUUGGAUGGUGUUAAGAACAGCCUGCAGAAGCCACGGCCUUUCAGACUCUUUCCCAAAGGCUUUUCUGUGGAGCUAUGCAUGAACAGGGAAGACGACACUGCACAGAAAGAGAAAACUGAUCACUUCAUUUUCACGUACACCCGAGAGGGGAAUCUGCGCUACUCUGCUAAAUCCCUCUUCAGCCUGGUGCUGGGCUUCAUCUCCGACAAUGUUGAUCACAUUGAUUCCCUUAUUGGCUUUCCUGAGCAGAUUGC
rnacentral:lncRNA from 1 species